rnacentral:lncRNA from 1 species
UUAUAUAUUGUCCCUUUGCUUUGGUUGGAAUGUAUCAUGCAAGAAUGGACGGAAGGUCUGCCACUGCGUGUAUACUGGUGAUGGUGGUGUUGUUCGGAAGCACUACAUCUGCAGGUAUGUUCUCCGUGUUGUUGUUUAUGUAGAGUUCCUAGUGCAUAUGUUAUUCCAAGCAAGAACAUUGAAAAAUAUAAAUAAGAUUUCAAGAUUGUAUUACCAAAGUUUUCUCAAAUAGUACAUUGAUGCACAUUUUGCAUAUGUCCUUUACGAUUUGGGUACAUCUUACUACUUUUAUGCAGCGCUGUAAGAAUCAUGUCAUUACAAUCAAUGUCUCACCUUUAUGUAUAAUUUUUAAUUAUCUUUGAGGUGUGCAGAGAAAUGUGCGAUGGUUCAAUUUCCGCUCGUGAUGUGCAACAAUCUAGCAUGCAAGCAUGAAUGUGAGUUUUGGGGCCAGGGCAAGAAGGUUCGCGGAUUCUGGUGCAAUCGGAUGCUCCGUGGCACCUGCAACUGCAAGAUUUGUUGGGAUGAAUAAACUUAAUUGAUGUGCUAAGUACAAUUAAUGUUAUCAAUAAUGAAUUCAUAACUUUGUGUCCCUGAAUCACCCAGUUAUGCAUGUGAUUCUAUUCUUGGGAGAGCACCAUGGGAUGGAGAAUAUUAAUCUAUAUUGUGUCGUGAAAAAACUUCUUAAAAGACAAAUAUCAUAUAGUUAUGAACAAAUACUAGACCAUGCCGGCGCGCGUUGCUGCACCCGUCGAUUUAUGCAAUUCAAUGUUAGGCAUUGAUACGAAUAUACGGGAACACGCUGUUCCGUAAUCUUGUAUUGUAAUUUUAGAUUCAUAUUUUGUUAAAAGUUGAGCAGAUCCUUCCUUUAUUGAAUUUUUUAACCUUCCUUUGUCGAAU